rnacentral:rRNA from 1 species
AUUGAACGCUGGCGGCAGGCCUAACACAUGCAAGUCGAACGAGUGGCGGACGGGUGAGUAAUGUCUGGGAAACUGCCUGAUGGAGGGGGAUAACUACUGGAAACGGUAGCUAAUACCGCAUACCAUCCGAUUAGCCCAGAUGGGAAUAGGGUGUUGGUGGGGAAACGGCUCAACAAGGCGACGAUCCCUAGCUGGUCUGAGAGGAUGACCACCCACAUGGGAACUGAGACCCGGUCCAGACCCCUACGGGAGGCACAAGUGGGAAAUAUCGCACAAUGGGCGCAAGCCUGAUGAAGCCAUGCCGCGUGUAUGAAGAAGGCCUUCGGGUUGUAAAGUACUUUCAUCGGGGAGGCGUUACCCGCAGAAGAAGCACCGGCUAACUCCGUGCCAGCAGCCGCGGUAAUUC